UUGUCCAGUUGUCCGUAGGUCUACUCUAGAACUUUCUCCAGCUGUCGGAAGGUCUACUCUAGAACUUUCUCCAGCUGUCGGAAGGUCUACUCUAGAACUUUCUCCAGCUGUCGGUAGGUCUGCUCUAGAACUUUCCCCAGCUGUCGGUAGGUCUGCUCUAGAACUUUCUCCAGUUGUCGGUAGGUCUGCUCUAGAACUUUCCCCAGCUGUCGGUAGGUCUGCUCUAGAACUUUCCCCAGUUGUCGGUAGUUCUGCUCUAGAACUUUCUCCAGUUGUCGGUAGGUCUGCUCUAGUACUUUCCCCAGCUGUCGGUAGGUCUACUCUAGAACUUUCUCCAGCUGUCGGUAGGUCUGCUCUAGAACUUUCCCCAGCUGUCGGUAGGUCUGCUCUAGUACUUUCCCCAGCUGUCGGUAGGUCUACUCUAGAACUUUCUCCAGCUGUCGGUAGGUCUGCUCUAGAACUUUCUCCAGCUGUCGGUAGGUCUACUCUAGAACUUUCUCCAGCUGUCGGUAGGUCUACUCUAGAACUUUCUCCAGCUGUCGGUAGGUCUACUCUAGAACUUUCUACAGUUAUCGGUAGGUCUACUCUAGAACUUUCUCCAGCUGUCGGAAGGUCUACUCUGGAACUUUCUCCAGCUGUCGGUAGGUCUACUCUAGAACCUUCUCCAGGGGAUGUUCUCCUUUCCUGCUUCCAGUCUUUAAGUUUAGUCUCACUUAGAACAUUCCAGGUCCUUGAAGUCCACAGAGGAGGGUCUAGAUUUAUCACUUUUUGAUGGAGUUUUCCAGAACUUCAUCAGUCCAGGAGAUAGAAUCAAGACAUUUAGGAGGAAAAACACAUCUGAGUUCUGGUAAAAACGGACCCUAGAUCAGUUUAUAUCCAUCCAGGAGUCUCAGUCUGAACACUGGCCCUGGUCUGUGAUCGGAACCAUUUUAUUCUAUUAUUUUAUUCAAUUGUUGACUCAUUUUCAAGCAAUUUAGGACAAUUUUGCAUUUCAUUUUCAGCUAAUUUCUUGGAUCAUUUUUGAGUCUUUUUCUCAAAUUUUGAGUUAUUUUCUUUAAUUUCGGAAGCAUCUUGGACUAAUUUUGUGUCAUUCUGCAAACCUUCAGUCAGUUUGGAUCAUAUUUAAGUCUUUUUUUUGGUGAAUUCUGAUUCAUUUUGGACAAUUUUCUGGUCCUUUUCAAUCAGUUUUCUGUCAGACUUGAUCUUUUCUUGUCAUUUUGAUCAUUUUUGAGUCAUUUAGGACAGAUGUCAUGUUAUGUAGGUGUGUAGGUCCAGGUGUGUAGAAGGAUGCUGUUUUUGUGUGAUGAGCUGUUGGGUGGACUCCUCUCCAUCUAUCUGAUCUCCUCCAUAGAUCUGAUGGUGUCUCCAGGCGUCGCUGUUUUAGUGCCAAUAGAAGCUUUAGAUCCUUUAAUCAACACCACUGUUAUUAUGCUGUACAGAAUCAAUCAAUCAAUCAAUCAAUCAAUCAAACAAACAGUUCUGUAGUGAUGAUCCAGCUGUUCUUCAGCUGCAUCCAGAGAAUCAAAAAUAUAGUUCUCUUCAGUUCUCACUGAUCCUGAAGACGUAAAGUUAAAAAGAGAAACCAGAGACGUUUGAGUCUCCUGAAAGUAUCAGUCCUUUCUCUGCGGUUCUGUUAGUUUAUCAGUUUUAGUUGUAGUUUAUUUAUAUUCUGCAGUUUUCUGUCCUUUUUAAAUGUAGUUCUGGCUGUUCUGUCUCUGUGUGCAGACUAGGAUGUAUUAUGGGAUGCAUGCAGUGAAAAAUGAAGCCCAGUGAAGGAAAAGGCAGUAGCAGCAGCUCAGGACAUGAAACGUUUGAUCAGACAGAAGAAUCACGUGGAGUUGCCUGGAAACUAAAGCAGAGCGGAAACAGCAGGAGAACGUCUGAAUGUUUUCACUGAGUGGCCUUGAAUGGAUCCUGGUACUGGUUCUCCUCAUCAAACACUCAGCAGGUUUCUGGUGGUCACCAUGGGAACAUGUAGGGAACAUAAUUGGAACAUAUAGUGGACAUAUCGGGAACAUAACGGGAACAUAUAGGGAACAUAAUGGAAACAUAUAGUGGACAUAUAGGGAACAUAACGGGAACAUAUAGGGAACAUAACGGGAACAUAUAGUGAACAUAACGGGAACAUAUAGUGAACAUAACGGGAACAUAUAGUGGACAUAUAGGGAACAUAACGGGAACAUAUAGGGAACAUAACGGGAACAUAUAGUGGACAUAUAGGGAACAUAACGGGAACAUAUAGGGAACAUAACGGGAACAUAUAGUGGACAUAUAGGGAACAUAACGGGAACAUAUAGGGAACAUAACGGGAACAUAUAGUGGACAUAUAGGGAACAUAACGGGAACAUAUAGGGAACAUAACGGGAACAUAUAGUGAACAUAACGGGAACAUAACGGGAACAUAUAGUGAACAUAACGGGAACAUAUAGUGGACAUAUAGGGAACAUAACGGGAACAUAUAGGGAACAUAACGGGAACAUAUAGUGGACAUAUAGGGAACAUAACGGGAACAUAUAGGGAACAUAACGGGAACAUAUAGUGGACAUAUAGGGAACAUAACGGUAACAUAUAGGGAACAUAACGGGAACAUAUAGGGAACAUAACGGGAACAUAUAGUGGACAUAUAGGGAACAUAACGGGAACAUAUAGGGAACAUAACGGGAACAUAUAGUGGACAUAUAGGGAACAUAACGGGAACAUAUAGGGAACAUAACGGGAACAUAUAGUGGACAUAUAGGGAACAUAACGGGAACAUAUAGGGAACAUAACGGGAACAUAUAGUGGACAUAUAGGGAACAUAACGGGAACAUAACGGGAACAUAACGGGAACAUAUAGUGGACAUAUAGGGAACAUAACGGGAACAUAUAGGGAACAUAACGGGAACAUAUAGUGGACAUAUAGGGAACAUAACGGGAACAUAUAGGGAACAUAUAGGGAACAUAACGGGAACAUAUAGUGGACAUAUAGGGAACAUCUAGGGAACAUAUAGGGAACAUAACGGGAACAUAUAGGGAACAUAACGGGAACAUAUAGUGGACAUAUAGGGAACAUAACGGGAACAUAUAGUGGACAUAUAGGGAACAUAUAGGGAACAUAUAGGGAACAUAUAGGGAACAUAACGGGAACAUAACGGGAACAUAACAGGAACAUAACAGGAACAUAAAGGGAACAUGUAGGGGACAUGUAGCAAUAAAAACUGAUUGUUCACCUGAAUCAUUGUGUGACUUUCUUUACUUUUAUGAAGCCAGCAUGUUUUCCAGUCUUCCACUUCCUUCCUGAAUCUUCUGAUGAGUUCUUCUGUUUGAAUCUCAGCUGCUUCACAUCUAGCUGAGUUUGGUUUGUUGUUUCUGAGAGCUGCUCUUCAGGAACAGAGAAGAUGUUUUCUGCUUUUUAUUUCAGCUGCACGUGAAUGCAUCAGAACUCAGGGAGGAGGAGCUCUGAGAGGCUUCACUGUCUCCAUGGCAACAGGCUGACGGGGCUUAUGGGAGAUGUAGUGUUUGAAAUGAACCAAACAGUGGUUGAAGCAUGAGGACUCCUUGCUAGUGUGGUUCUGAGGAGGUCUGAAGGUUCUGAGGAGGUCUGAUGGUUCUGAGGGGGUCUGAUGGUUCUGAGGAGGUCUGAAGGUUCUGAGGAGGUCUGAUGGUUCUGAGGGGGUCUGAUGGUUCUGAGGAGGUCUGAAGGUUCUGAGGGGGUCUGAUGGUUCGGAGGAGGUCUGAAGGUUCUGAGGGGGUCUGAUGGUUCGGAGGGGGUCUGAUGGUUCGGAGGAGGUCUGAAGGUUCGGAGGAGAUCUGAUGGUUCGGAGGAGGUCUGAAGGUUCGGAGGAGGUCUGAAGGUUUGGAGGAGGUCUGAAGGUUCUGAUGAGGUCUGAUGGUUCUGAUGAGGUCUGAUGGUUCGGAGGAGGUCUGAAGGUUCGGAGGAGGUCUGAAGGUUCGGAGGAGGUCUGAAGGUUCGGAGGAGAUCUGAUGGUUCG